CAUCUUUCUUUCCAAAUGCAAACGGAUGGACAUCUUACCAAAAGGACUGAAGGCUAAGCUCAGCAAAUGACACUGUGAAUGAAAUACCAUAUGACUUGCUCUAUCUGAUCUCUCACUGAACUUGGUUCAAAGUAGAAAUGUACCGUGGAUACCAGAUCAAAACGUUUCUGCAUGUUCAGUUACAAGCUGCAAAUUAGGGACGAGCCAUUUCCAUGGAGUUUGGGGUUUUGCAACUCUCACAAAUAAUACUGUGCACC